rnacentral:rRNA from 1 species
UAGGGAAUCUUCCACAAUGGACGCAAGUCUGAUGGAGCAACGCCGCGUGAGUGAAGAAGGCUUUCGGGUCGUAAAACUCUGUUGUUGGAGAAGAAUGGUCGGCAGAGUAACUGUUGUCGGCGUGACGGUAUCCAACCAGAAAGCCACGGCUAACUACGUGCCAGCAGCCGCGGUAAUACGUAGGUGGCAAGCGUUAUCCGGAUUUAUUGGGCGUAAAGCGAGCGCAGGCGGUUUUUUAAGUCUGAUGUGAAAGCCCUCGGCUUAACCGAGGAAGCGCAUCGGAAACUGGGAAACUUGAGUGCAGAAGAGGACAGUGGAACUCCAUGUGUAGCGGUGGAAUGCGUAGAUAUAUGGAAGAACACCAGUGGCGAAGGCGGCUGUCUGGUCUGUAACUGACGCUGAGGCUCGAAAGCAUGGGUAGCGAACAGGAUUAGAUACCCUGGUAGUCCAUGCCGUAAACGAUGAAUGCUAGGUGUUGGAGGGUUUCCGCCCUUCAGUGCCGCAGCUAACGCAUUAAGCAUUCCGCCUGGGGAGUACGACCGCAAGGUUGAAAC